rnacentral:rRNA from 1 species
CUCAGAAUGAACGCUGGCGGUCUGCUUAACACAUGCAAGUCGAACGCAACCUUCGGGUUGAGUGGCGGACGGGUGAGUAACGCGUGAGAAUCUGCCUUGGGGUCGGGGACAACCACUGGAAACGGUGGCUAAUACCGGAUAAGCCUUUGGGUAAAAAAUUUAUUGCCCCAAGAGGAGCUCGCGUCUGAUUAGCUAGUUGGUGAGGUAAGAGCUCACCAAGGCAGCGAUCAGUAGCUGGUCUGAGAGGACGAUCAGCCACACUGGGACUGAGACACGGCCCAGACUCCUACGGGAGGCAGCAGUGGGGAAUUUUCCGCAAUGGGCGAAAGCCUGACGGAGCAAGACCGCGUGAGGGAGGAAGGCUCUUGGGUUGUAAACCUCUUUUCUCAGGGAAGAAGCUCUGACGGUACCUGAGGAAUCAGCCUCGGCUAACUCCGUGCCAGCAGCCGCGGUAAUACGGAGGAGGCAAGCGUUAUCCGGAAUUAUUGGGCGUAAAGCGUCCGCAGGUGGCGAUUCAAGUCUGCUGUCAAAGCACGGGGCUUAACUCCGUUAAGGCAGUGGAAAUUGAAUAGCUAGAGUGCCGUAGGGGUAGAGGGAAUUCCCGGUGUAGCGGUGAAAUGCGUAGAGAUCGGGAAGAACAUCGGUGGCGAAAGCGCUCUACUGGACGGCAACUGACACUCAGGGACGAAAGCUAGGGGAGCGAAUGGGAUUAGAUACCCCAGUAGUCCUAGCUGUAAACGAUGGAUACUAGGUGUAGCUUGUAUCGACCCGAGCUGUGCCGAAGCUAACGCGUUAAGUAUCCCGCCUGGGGAGUACGCACGCAAGUGUGAAACUCAAA